UGUCUGGUAGCUCAGUCGGUAGAGCGGUGUACACAUGAACUGGCACGACGUCGGAGGUUCGAGUCCUCUCCAGACAA
rnacentral:tRNA from 1 species